AAUCCAUGGUGCGGGCAUUUUUGAAUAAACAUUUUGAAAUGUUCCCAUGCCUCAUAGAAAGUUUCUCCUUCCAUCUGUCCAAAGACAAUGAUCUCUCUUCUUAGUUG
rfam:Gossypium raimondii chromosome 3, whole genome shotgun sequence.